rnacentral:ncRNA from 1 species
GAGCAAUAACAGGUCUGUGAUGCCCUUAGAUGUUCGGGGCCGCACGCGCGCUACACUGACCGGAUCAGCGUGUGCUCUCCUUGGCCGACAGGUCCGGGAAACCCGUUGAACCCCGGUCGUGCUAGGGAUAGGGAAUUGCAAUUAUUUCCCUUGAACGAGGAAUUCCCAGUAAGCGCGAGUCAUUAGCUGGCGUUGAUUACGUCCCUGCCCUUUGUACACACCGCCCGUCGCUACUACCGAUUGAAUGGUUUAGUGAGGUCCUCCGAUUGGACCCGGUCCGGGCGGCGACGUCCGAGCCGGCGUCCGAGAAGACGAUCUAACUUGAUCAUUUAGAGGAAGUAAAAGUCGUAACAAGGUUUCCGUAGGUGAACCUGCGGAAGGAUCAUUA